AAAAAGUUAGUUAAACCAUAAUAUUAGGUUGUCAGCCUAACGUUACUAAACCCAUUUAGUACUUUUUA
rnacentral:tRNA from 1 species